rnacentral:rRNA from 1 species
GAGUGGCGAACUGGUGAGUAACACGUGGGAAACCUGCCCAGAAGCGGGGGAUAACACCUGGAAACAGAUGCUAAUACCGCAUAACAACUUGGACCGCAUGGUCCGAGUUUGAAAGAUGGCUUCGGCUAUCACUUUUGGAUGGUCCCGCGGCGUAUUAGCUAGAUGGUGNGGUAACGGCUCACCAUGGCAAUGAUACGUAGCCGACCUGAGAGGGUAAUCGGCCACAUUGGGACUGAGACACGGCCCAAACUCCUACGGGAGGCAGCAGUAGGGAAUCUUCCACAAUGGACGAAAGUCUGAUGGAGCAACGCCGCGUGAGUGAAGAAGGGUUUCGGCUCGUAAAACUCUGUUGUUAAAGAAGAACAUAUCUGAGAGUAACUGUUCAGGUAUUGACGGUAUUUAACCAGAAAGCCACGGCUAACUACGUGCCAGCAGCCGCGGUAAUACGUAGGUGGCAAGCGUUGUCCGGAUUUAUUGGGCGUAAAGCGAGCGCAGGCGGUUUUUUAAGUCUGAUGUGAAAGCCUUCGGCUCAACCGAAGAAGUGCAUCGGAAACUGGGAAACUUGAGUGCAGAAGAGGACAGUGGAACUCCAUGUGUAGCGGUGAAAUGCGUAGAUAUAUGGAAGAACACCAGUGGCGAAGGCGGCUGUCUGGUCUGUAACUGACGCUGAGGCUCGAAAGUAUGGGUAGCAAACAGGAUUAGAUACCCUGGUAGUCCAUACCGUAAACGAUGAAUGCUAAGUGUUGGAGGGUUUCCGCCCUUCAGUGCUGCAGCUAACGCAUUAAGCAUUCCGCCUGGGGAGUACGGCCGCAAGGCUGAAACUCAAAGGAAUUGACGGGGGCCCGCACAAGCGGUGGAGCAUGUGGUUUAAUUCGAAGCUACGCGAAGAACCUUACCAGGUCUUGACAUACUAUGCAAAUCUAAGAGAUUAGACGUUCCCUUCGGGGACAUGGAUACAGGUGGUGCAUGGUUGUCGUCAGCUCGUGUCGUGAGAUGUUGGGUUAAGUCCCGCAACGAGCGCAACCCUUAUUAUCAGUUGCCAGCAUUAAGUUGGGCACUCUGGUGAGACUGCCGGUGACAAACCGGAGGAAGGUGGGGAUGACGUCAAAUCAUCAUGCCCCUUAUGACCUGGGCUACACACGUGCUACAAUGGAUGGUACAACGAGUUGCGAACUCGCGAGAGUAAGCUAAUCUCUUAAAGCCAUUCUCAGUUCGGAUUGUAGGCUGCAACUCGCCUACAUGAAGUCGGAAUCGCUAGUAAUCGCGGAUCAGCAUGCCGCGGUGAAUACGUUCCCGGGCCUUGUACACACCGCCCGUCACACCAUGAGAGUUUGUAACACCCAAAGUCGGUGGGGUAACCUUU